rnacentral:rRNA from 1 species
UACGAAGGGUGCAAACGUUUGCUCGGAAUUAUUGGGCGUAAAGAGCUCGUAGGCGGCUUGUCGCGUCGACUGUGAAAUCCCGCGGCUCAACUGCGGGUCUGCAGUCGAUACGGGCAGGCUAGAGUUCGGUAGGGGAGACUGGAAUUCCUGGUGUAGCGGUGAAAUGCGCAGAUAUCAGGAGGAACACCGGUGGCGAAGGCGGAUCUCUGGGCCAUUACUGACGCUGAGGAGCGAAAAGCGUGGGGGAGCGAACAGG